AUUGAACGCUGGCGGCAUGCUUUACACAUGCAAGUCGAACGGCAGCAUGGGCUUCAGCCUGAUGGCGAGUGGCGAACGGGUGAGUAAUACAUCGGAACGUACCUGAUAGUGGGGGAUAACUGACCGAGAGGUUAGCUAAUACCGCAUACGCCCCGAGGGGGAAAGUGGGGGACCAGCAAUGGCCUCACGCUAACAGAGCGGCUGAUGGCUGAUUAGCUAGUUGGUGAGGUAAGGCUCACCAAGGCGACGAUCAGUAGCGGGUCUUAGAGGACGAUCCGCCACACUGGAACUGAGACACGGUCCAGACUCCUACGGGAGGCAGCAGUGGGGAAUCUUGGACAAUGGGCGCAAGCCUGAUCCAGCAAUGCCGCGUGGGUGAAGAAGGCCUUCGUGUUGUAAAGCCCUUUUGUUUGGGAGCAAAUCCUAACGGUUAAUACCUGUUGGGGAUGAGAGUACCAAAAGAAUCAGCACCGGCUAACUACGUGCCAGCCGCCGCGGUAA
rnacentral:rRNA from 1 species